GGCAGAGGUGAGCCAGCAGAAAUAUGAGUAUGUGCAAGCACUUGCAGAGUCUUUAGAUAGACAGCAUGAGGUCCCUCCAAGGUAUAUCAGGCCGGAAGCUGAGACUGAACCAGUGGAUGGCGGAGGCGCCGAAGAAAUCCCGAUUGUCGACCUUGGCAGUCUGAUUGAUCCCCAGUCCUCCGAGGCCGAGUCCCGCAAGCUUAAGUUUGCUUGUGAGGAGUGGGGCUUCUUCCAGCUAAUAAAUCAUGGAGUCCCCGAAGAAGCGAUGAAUCAAAUGAAGGCAGAUAUGAUUGGAUUUUUCAAGCUUCCUCUUGAAGAGAAGAAGGUAUAUGCACAAUUACCAAACAGUAUGGAAGGUUAUGGUCAAGAAAAACUCGAUCGGGCCGAAUUUUUGUACUUUACCACUCGUCCGGUUCCGACAAGAAAAAUGAAAUUUUGGCCUCAUUCCCCUCCAACCUUCAGAGAUACAUUGGAUAAAUAUUCAUCAGAGCUGGAGAAAGUCGCGGGUAUCCUAUUUAAUAUGAUGGCCAAUGACUUGAAUCUCAAUCCAGAGAUUCUCUUAAACAUUUUCAAGGACCAGCCACAAGGGUUGAGGAUGAACUAUUAUCCGCCUUGUCCGAAAGCUGACAUGGUCUUGGGCAUUUCUCCUCACACAGAUGCAGAUGGCUUUACAUUGCUCCUCCAAGUUAGUGAUGUUCAUGGUUUACAAAUUAGGAAGGAUGGUAAAUGGAUUCCUGUAGAACCUCUGGAUGGUGCUUUUGUUGUCAAUAUUGGUGAUAUUCUUGAGAUACUGAGUAAUGGAAAAUAUAGAAGCAUUGAGCAUAGGGUAAUGGUAAACACCGAGAAAGAGCGUCUCUCGAUUGCUGCAUUCCAUAGCCCUGAUGUAGGUUGUACGGUUGGUCCUCUUCCUGAAGUGGUGAGAGGAGGCAAGGAGAAUUACAGGACCACAAGCUAUGCCGAAUACAUGAAGGCCUACUCAUCUGCACAACUGGAUGGUAGGAGAGCCUUAGAGAGCAUGCGACUGGAGUGAAAGACGGAAGCCAAAGAUAAAAGAUUUACUAGUGGUCAUAUAAUAAUCUCUUGUACUUGAUCCGUACUAGAUAAAAGAUUUACUGGUGGUCAUAUUAUAAUCUCUUGUACUUGAUCCGAUGAGGGCUAUUAUCAAGCAUCCAACUGUUUCUACGUACAGAAGAAAUAUUAC
rnacentral:misc_RNA from 1 species